rnacentral:tmRNA from 1 species
GGGGGUGAAAGGUCUCGACAGGGGCCUGGAUCGUCGGACGGAUGCAUGCCGGGCGUUCUAUGCGGCUCGUUAACAAGCGUAGAAAACACAAAUGCGAACUCUAACGAGUUAGCUCUCGCGGCCUAGGUUACCCUAGGAACACAAGCGAGCGUCUCGCCGCGAGUUGCUCAAGCGAAGCGGAGCGAGGCGUAACUUAGUUGAGCUGGCCUGCUUUACGUGCUCAGGUGAAGCGGGCGAGAAAAAACUGGGCUAGACGUUGGCGGGGUCUUCGACGCUUCACUUACCCGCCGACGGCGAACGCGCCGGGGCGAGACCGGCAGAGGAGAAGCGGCUAAGCAUGUAGGUUCCUCCGGCGUCGGCCUUUGGACCCGAGUUCGAUUCUCGGCACCUCCAUUC